UUAACUUAUUACAAUAUUACUCAGACAACACAAAAAUCAAGAGUUUAGGGUCCUCUGGCAGGCGCGGACCAGCCAAAGCCAGUGGUCAAGAGACGGGCCUGCCAAAGCAACAAAGGUAAUGUAAACAAAGGGUGGGAGAUCUACCCUGAAGGGCAAUUUCUCUGUAAUGAUCCUUCCGCAGGUUCACCUACGGAAA
rnacentral:misc_RNA from 1 species